CACGUAGGGGGCGAGCGUUGUCCGGAAUCAUUGGGCGUAAAGAGCUCGUAGGCGGCUCGGUAAGUCGGGUGUGAAACCCCCAGGCUCAACCUGGGGACGCCACCCGAUACUGCUGUGGCUAGAGUCCAGUAGGGGAGUGUGGAAUUCCCGGUGUAGCGGUGAAAUGCGCAGAUAUCGGGAGGAACACCAGCGGCGAAGGCGGCACUCUGGGCUGGAACUGACGCUGAGGAGCGAAAGCGUGGGUAGCAAAAGGG
rnacentral:rRNA from 1 species